UGGUGAGAUCAAUUGCCAAGAGUAGGAACUUUAGUUGUGAUAAGUGUGAAGGUGUUAGGAGAGGGUUUAAUCUGGCUAGUGUAGCAGGUGAAAUGGGAGGGAACACUGUGAGGGAGGUCUACCUAACAAGGAGAAAAUUGAGAGAAAUUCAGCCAGAAUGUAGCCCUACUUUCUUCUAAAUGGAAAUACUCAUCACUGUGAGAAUAGAGACAAACAGAAUGCGAGAAAGAAAAAUACAGUAACAGUAUUUAUCUAUUUAAGCAUUUUGCAUAUAUUAACUCAUAAAACGCUAUUAGAUAAAACACUAUUAGAUAAUACAGUAUUAUUCCUAUUUUACAGAAAGAAGCUCAAAGUUGUUAAAGCAAAAGAGAGGGACCUUACUAUUUUGCCCUUGUCUGCUUCCCCAGAAUUCUUUUGCCACUUACUACUUUGAACUUUCUGCAUGAACACCAUCAAAUGGUUUUCAGUUUCAUGCCAUGAUGAGCUAUCUCUUGCCUCUGUACCUUUGGUCAUGCCAAGAUUCUCAGUCCAUGACCCCUUUUCUUGACUCCCAUCCAUUCUUUAACCCUCAGAUUCUGUUACUUUCUCACAAUUUGUGGACAUUUCUCUCACGGUGUUAAAAUAUUCUGUUUCCUUACCUUCACCUGGACUGGACUGUGGGCAGGACAUAGAUUUCGUGUCUGUGGCAUAGGGCCUGGCCAAUACUAUAUAUAUUUUUCAACUCAACCACAAAUGAGUAAAUAUCUGCGAUAACUAGGUGAACAGAAAAUUCUCAGGGGUGAGGUUUAAAAUAGGGAAAGAGGAAAGAAGUAAAAACUCGUGGCAAAAUAGAACUUGCAUACUCUUUGCUUUCAAUUUAGGCUAGGGGUCAAACCAGAACUAUAGCUGCUGGCCUAUACCGCAGCCACAGCAAUGCGGGAUCUGAACUGCGCCUGCAACCUACACCACAGCUUUCAGCAACGCCGGAUCCCCAGUCCUCUGAGAGAGGCCAGGGAUUGAACCCGCAUCUUUAUGGAUACCAGUCAGAUUCAUUUCCGCUGCACCACAGUGGGAACUCCAAGGAAAAAAACAGCAUUUAAUAUGAGUUUGUAUACUACAGUCUAAGGAGAUUUUGUAUGAGUUCUGAGCGAUAUAGGUACUCAUAGGAAUGUAUCUCUAAUUUUUCCCCAUCUUAGUUAAUGGUGUUAACUUUUAAUGAUAACCUCUGCCCUUGGGUCUGCAGAAAUUCAAAACGGUUUGGGUAUUUUGAUGUGCAGGGAAAAAAAAUGGACACUUCCAAAAAAAUUUUUUUGACCACACCCAUGGCAUGUGGAAGUUCCUGGGUUGGGGAUUAAACCUGAGCCACAACAGUGACCAGAGGUGAUGCAUGGACAACACCGGAUCCUUAACGUGCUGUGCCAGAAGAGCACGCCUGUACACAUUAAAAAAAACCCAAAUCCUUAAGCUUUCUCUGCUUAUCUUUAGCACUUAUCUGUGGCUUUUGCAAUGCUAGCAUUACCAUAGUGAUAAAUAGGGGGUGAUGCUAUCCAUAAAGUUUCCUGCAUAGUUCAAUAAAAAUACCAGUAAUGACUAUUUUUUAUUGGUUAUGCCUGGCACCAUGCUAAGCAUUUCACAUACAUUAUUCCAAUUAAUUACAGUACCUCUAUGUUACAAAUCAGAAAUGUGAGGCCCAAGGCCACCCACUGACAGAGCCAGGAUUCUGACACCAGUAACUAUGCUCACCACACUACACAUUUGCUCUAAUUUAUUAAUUCCUUUAGGUCUUUCUCUUUCAAGUGGCUUUAGUCAAUACAGCCACUUGGGUUCUGCGCAUAUGCUGGAAAUAGCAUGGUCUGUUAAUUCUAACCCUCCACUGACUGUAUCAGGCAGUUCCUAGUUUUAAGCUCAGGCUCAAAGUGUAGACUCUUUUAUGAGAUUUCUGGCAGAAGCAGGUGAAAGGAAGAAUUCAAAACCAUUUCCUUUGUUGGGAGAGACACAUCAAGUAGUUGGGAGGGAGUGGGGCUGUUCCAUUCAGCCCUCAGUCUAGUCUCUUGGAGAGCAGCACUGAAGUCUCUCCCAUAAUUGCCUGCCUGGAAGGUGGAAAAUGGGAUAAGUGAUGUCACCGCAAAUGCAGACAUGCUGAACCCAAUAUUGCACAUCAGUGAAAUGGCUCAGGGAUUAGCUAGGCAUCCUCAACCCAUUUUCACAUUUAGUUUUCCUUCAAAGGAGAACUAUAUAAAAUAUACAACAAUAACCCAUGGCUUAUUUUAAAGUGCUUUCUUCUGACAGUCCUUAGUAGCACAUGAUUAGAGUUAAAAACUGAGAAACUAAUCCUUCUUCAGCUGCUGACCUGCAGUGUGAAAUGCAGUCAGGUAACCUACUCCAGGGCUGACCAAGGCACAGGUAUUUAUUAAGUAUCUAUUAACAGUCCAGCAUGAAUUUUUAUGCUUUGGGUAUCAAAAGAAUAUUGAAAGCUAGGUUUCAGCUUACCCUGAGCACCACACAAGUCAAAAUAAUGAAUUUCAGUGGUUAAAUGACUGGUAUAAACUACGGCAGUUGGGAUGACAAAUAAAUGAAUGACAGCUGGACUGGUCAAGCAUAGUGAGCAAUUGCUCUGACUGCCCACAAUCUACUUGUUUUUCCUCUAAUAACAUAAUACAUAUUUUGCUCUGAGAAGUCAUGCAUCCCCACUCUAAGUCCGCUUAGUUUGGGUGAUGACUAAGACAGGAAUGGGAGCAUGACUGACUAUAGCCAGUGAGAUUUUAAAAAUAUUCCUGUAUUGCCUAUGGCUGAAAGGAGACUUACACAUGGACUUUUCAGUUAGCUGAAACAAGAAAUUUCUUUUUUCUUAAGCCAGUUUGCUUUGGCUUGUUUGCUACUUGCAACCAAAAUAUUGCUAACGGGUUUUCUGCUUCUAGAUAGGGUAGACUUCUGCUUCUCAGAAGGAUACAGUAGAAGCUGACAGGGUAAUGUUCCCACUGCAACAACUUGAAACCAACAGAUAAAUUGCAAACUUCAUAUUUCUGAAUGCAUGGGGGAAAUGUAGAAGUAACAGAGAUGAGAUAAACCCUAAAUCUUGAGAGGUGAGAAGCUGACUACUCUAGUCAUUUUUCAACCUGAGUCAUCUGCCAAUUUUGAGCAUGACCUGAGGAGCAGGCUCGCUGAUGAAGCAGAACUCUGCUGGGAGUAAGAGUGACCACCUGAGCUUUUAGCAGUUACAGGGGGCUGAUAUGGCAGUUUGGAAGCUUGAAGAGACUCAAAUACUUAUUGUUUCCAGAUAGGUUCUAGAGCUGCAGGGGAACUAAGCUAAAAGCUUCUAAAAUGCAGAGUAAAUUAUCUAGAGUUUCUUGGUGCUUAGGAACUAAGAUCUGCCAGUGAGAGAGCUUGCAUCAAGAAAAUUUACUUAGGGUCUAGAGAUUGACUGAAACUUACAGAGAGCAGAGAUGGAAACCAGUACUGUUCUGGGGCUCAGGAAAUAUUUCUGACAGGGAUAUACAUGUCCCUGACAGAAUAUAUAAAUAUAUAUAUUUGUCUCUUUUUUUAGGGCUGCACCCAUGGUAUAUGGAGGUUCCCAGGCUAGCCACAACCACAGCAACACAGCUAUACCACAGCUUACAGCAACACCGGAUCCUUAACCCACUGAACGGGGCCAAGGAUAGAACCUGUGCCCUCAUGGAUGCUAGUCAGAUUCAUUUCUGCUGAGCCAUGAUGGGAAUUCCUGUCAGGGUUAUAUUAAAAAAUCUAGGAGAUUUAGGCUCUUGCACCAGUGAAAAUCAGGAAUGGACUUAAUAUUAUAAAUAUUGCAAUCUAGUUUUGUUCCUAAUGAAUUUCUAAAUGGGUUAAGAUGAUUGUAUUUUGCUAUAUUUGCAUAAUUAUGAAGAAAACACUAUGGUGAAAGAUAAAAUAAUCUGGACCCUCUUUUUUUUUUAAAUUGAAGUAUAGUUGAUUCACAAUAUUGUGUUAGUUUCAGGUUAUAGCAAGGUGAUUCAGUUAUAUAUUUCUUUAGAUUAUUUUCCAUUAUAGGUUAUUAUAAGAUAUUGAAUAUAGUUCCCUGUGUUAUACAGUAAACUCUUGUUGCUUAUCUAUUUUAUGUACAGCAGUUUUUAUCUUUCAGUCCCUUAAUCCAAUUUAUCCCCCCCAUUUCCCUUAGGUAACCAUAAGUUUGUUUUCUAUACUUGUAAAACUGUUCUUUAUUUUGUAUAUAGACUCAUUUGUAUUAUAUUCAGAUUCUAAAAAUAAGUGAUAUCAUAUAAUAUUUGUUUUUCUCUGAUUUUCUUCACUUAUAAUAAUCUCUGGGUCUAUUUAUGUUGCUGCAAAUGGCAAUGUUUCAUUUUUUAUUGGUUAGUAAUAUUCCAUUGUAUAUAUGUAUGUAAAUAUACAUACAUGCAUACACAUACACAAGAUUGCUUUGGCAAUUCUGGGUCUUUGUGGUUCCAUAUAAAUUUUAGUAUUAUUUAUUCUAGUUCUGUGGAAAUACAUUAUGCGUUUUUUUGAUAGGGAUCACAUUAAAUGUGUGGUUGCUCUGGAGGUAGUAUGACCAUUUUAAGAAUAAUUCUUCCGGAGAUCCCGUCGUGGCGCAGUGGUUAACGAAUCCGAACCAUGAGGUUGUGGGUUCGGUCUCUGGCCUUGCUCAGUGGGUUAAUGAUCCUGCGUUGCCGUGAACUGUGGUGUAGCUUGUAGACGCGGCUCGGAUCCCGCGUUGCUGUGGCCCUGGUGUAGGCCCGUGGCUACAGCUCCAAUUCGACCCCUAGCCUGAGAACCUCCAUAUGCCGCGGGAGCGGCCCAAGAAAUAGCAAAAANAAAA
rnacentral:lncRNA from 1 species